rnacentral:rRNA from 1 species
GUGAGGUAACGGCUCACCAAGGCAGCGACGGGUAGCCGGUCUGAGAGGAUGGUCGGCCACACUGGGACUGAGACACUGCCCAGACUCCUACGGGAGGCUGCAGUCGAGAAUCUUCCGCAAUGGACGAAAGUCUGACGGAGCGACGCCGCGUGGAGGAUGAAGGCCCUCGGGUUGUAAACUCCUGUCAGGGUUCAAAGAAAGGGCUGUAUCAAUAUUUGCAGUCUUGACAUUAGGCCCAAAGGAAGCACCGGCUAACUCUGUGCCAGCAGCCGCGGUAAGACAGAGGGUGCAAACGUUGCUCGGAAUCACUGGGCAUAAAGCGCACGCAGGCGGCCGUGUCAGUGCGGUGUGAAAGCCCCCGGCUCAACCGGGGAACUGCACCGCAUACUGUACGGCUCGAGCUUGAGAGGGGAGAGUGGAACUCCUGGUGGAGCGGUGGAAUUCGUAGAUAUCAGGAGGAACGCCGGAGGUGAAGACGACUCUCUGGCUCAAUGCUGACGCUGAGGUGCGAAAGCUAGGGGAGCGAACGGGAUUAGAUACCCCGGUAGUCCUAGCCCUAAACGAUGGGCACUAGCUAGGGGGGAUUCCUAUAGUCCUCCCUGGCGAAGCAAAUGUGUUAAGUG